UAUGGCCACAUCACGUAGAAACACCGAUUCCCCUUAACAUCACCGACGUUAAGCAACGUCGAGCCUGGUCAGUACCUAGAUGGGUGACCGCUUGGAUGUCCGUGUGGUGCAA